rnacentral:rRNA from 1 species
AGAAUCAACGCUGGCGGCGUGCCUAACACAUGCAAGUCGCACGAGAAAGGGGAGCAAUCCCUGAGUAAAGUGGCGCACGGGUGAGUAACACGUGAAUCAUCUACCUCCGAGUGGGGAAUAACCUAGAGAAAUCUGGGCUAAUACCGCAUAACACUUACGAGUCAAAGCAGCAAUGCGCUUGGAGAGGAGUUCGCGGCCGAUUAGCUAGUUGGCGGGGUAAUGGCCCACCAAGGCGAUGAUCGGUAUCCGGCCUGAGAGGGCGCACGGACACACUGGAACUGAAACACGGUCCAGACUCCUACGGAGGCAGCAGUGGGGAAUUUUGCGCAAUGGGGAAACCCUGACGCAGCAACGCCGCGUGGAGGAUGAAGUAUCUUGGUACGUAAACUCCUUUCGAUGGGGAAGAUAAUGACGGUACCCAUAGAAGAAGCCCGGCUAACUUCGUGCCAGCAGCCGC